rnacentral:rRNA from 1 species
AGUGAACGCUGGCGGCAGGCCUAACACAUGCAAGUCGAGCGGCAGCGGGUCCCCGCGAGGGGAUGCCGGCGAGCGGCGGACGGGUGAGGAACACAUCGGAAUCUGCCUGGUUGUGGGGGAUAACGUAGGGAAACUUACGCUAAUACCGCAUGCGACCCUGAGUCGACGGACUGGGGGGUGAAAGUGAGGGACCUUCGGGCCUCACGCGACCAGAUGAGCCGAUGUCGGAUAGCUAGUUGGCGGGGUAACGGCCCGCCAAGGCGACGAUCCGUAGCUGGUCUGAGAGGAUGAUCAGCCACACUGGGACUGAGACACGGCCCAGACUCCUACGGGAGGCAGCAGU